rnacentral:rRNA from 1 species
AGAGUUUGAUCCUGGCUCAGGACAAACGCUGGCGGCGUGCCUAAAACAUGCAAGUCGUACGGUCCUUCGGGACAGUGGCGGACGGCUGAGUAACACGUAGGUGACCUACCCUUGAGUGGGGAAUAACGCUCCGAAAGGAGCGCUAAUACCGCAUACGACCACUGCAUCUCGGUGUGGUGAGGAAAGCCGCAAGGCGCUCGGGGACGGGCCUGCGUCCGAUUAGCUUGUUGGUGAGGUAACGGCCCACCAAGGCGACGAUCGAUAGCUGGUCUAAGAGGAUGAUCAGCCAGACUGGGACUGUGACACGGCCCAGACUCCUACGGGAGGCAGCAGUUAGGAAUCUUGGGCAAUGGGCGAAAGCCUGACCCAGCAACGCCGCGUGGGUGACGAAGGCCUUCGGGUCGUAAAGCCCUUUUGCACGGGAAGAUCAUGACGGUACCGUGCGAAUAAGCCCCGGCUAACUACGUGCCAGCAGCCGCGGUA